GUGCUCACUUCAGCAGCAGAUACAUUAAAAUUGGAAUCAUACAGAGAAGAUUAGCAUGGCCCCUGAGCAAGGAUCACACGCAAAUUCAUGAAGUGUUCCAUAUUUAA
rnacentral:snRNA from 1 species